UACAGAGGGUGCGAGCGUUAAUCGGAAUUACUGGGCGUAAAGCGUGCGCAGGCGGUUCGCUGUGUCGGAUGUGAAAGCCCCGGGCUCAACCUGGGAACGGCAUUCGAAACUGGCGGGCUGGAGUGUGGCAGAGGGGGGUGGAAUUCCGCGUGUAGCAGUGAAAUGCGUAGAGAUGCGGAGGAACACCGAUGGCGAAGGCAGCCCCCUGGGCUGACACUGACGCUCAGGCACGAAAGCGUGGGGAGCAAACAGG
rnacentral:rRNA from 1 species